ensembl:processed_transcript
CUCAUAGGAACUCCAAUCUUCCCAACUGUGAGAGAGCCUUGCUCCAGUGACUGUGAAAUGGAGUGAGGCAUACCAGGAUAUGUGUGAUUUGACUGUUGGGCUGGAGGUUGGAACAGUGCAGUGCUUCCUCUCUAGGAUUGCAGUGACCAGACAUGCUACUGUAACUCUCAUUGUCAUGUGCUGGAAUUAGCAGAUAUUCAACAAUUCGGCCAUCUCACUCACCUGUUGAUAUCAGAAGAGUGCAACAGCUCUGCACAGCAAGUUGCAAAACAGAAUCCAUGGAACUGGCAGUGACCGAAAACCAAAUGGAAGACUUUGGUCUGUGAUGUAGGAGAGGGCAGAUGAGAAAUUUUCUAUUAAUAUUACAUGUAGUCAUGAACAAUUGUAAGUGUUACUAUUAUUGUAAUAUUUCAGUAGCAGAAGCAAAGACAACAAAAAAAAAAAGAAGUGAUAUGGAUGCAUUUGCCUUAUGGCAUGACUCGGUUGAUUUAACAACAAAGAGAAUGGCGUUCAACAUCUUCUUGCUAGUCAGGAUUCUUCAGGAGAAGCAGAGGAUUCUUGUGGCAGAGAUGGCCAACCACUAUAAAUACCUUUCAACUCAUCCUGGUUCCUUCAAAGAACUUUCCUGCUUGUUUGCUACUGAAAAGUAUAUUCGACAUGUGGCCUAAACGAAGAGGGGUUGAAAGGUCUAUGGAUCAUCAUUCUCAGAAAGCAACAAAAUAACACAGAAAUAAACAACAAUACGAGGGUGCAAUCUAGAGACCUGCAAGGUACCUGCAAGUUUUGGCUGGAGCAGAUAACAGACAUUUUUUUAAAUAAAGCUCCAGCUGAUGAGUAUGACAUUGACUGCGGAUUUUCUUUUACUGUAAUCCAGAAGAGGAUGACCUUAACCCUGAAUCUAAAGCAUGUAAUAAAAUCUGAAAAAAAAAAAAAUAAUAAUAAUAAUUACCAUAA